AUUGAACGCUGGCGGCAGGCUUAACACAGGCAAGUCGAGCGAGCGGCGGACGGGUGAGUAAUGACUGGGAAACUGCCUGAGGGAGGGGGAUAACUAAUGGAAACGGUAGCUAAUACCGCAUACCAUCAGAGGUGCCCAGAUGGGCUUAGAUAGUAGGUGGGGUAAUGGCUCACCUAGGCGACGAUCCCUAGCUGGUCUGAGAGGAUGACCAGCCACACUGUAACUGAGACACGGUCCAGACUCCUACGGGAGGGAGCAGUGGGGAAUAUUGCACAAUGGGGUCAAGCCUGAUGCAGCCAUGCCGCGUGUGUGAAGAAGGCCUUCGGGUUGUAAAGCACUUUCAGCGAGGAGGCGUUACUCGCAGAAGAAGCACCGGCUAACUCCGUGCCAGCAGCCGCGGUAAUUC
rnacentral:rRNA from 1 species